rnacentral:rRNA from 1 species
AUUGAACGCUGGCGGCAGGCCUAACACAUGCAAGUCGAGCGGCAGCGGGAAGUAGCUUGCUACUUUGCCGGCGAGCGGCGGACGGGUGAGUAAUGUCUGGGAAACUGCCUGAUGGAGGGGGAUAACUACUGGAAACGGUAGCUAAUACCGCAUAACGUCGCAAGACCAAAGAGGGGGACCUUCGGGCCUCUUGCCAUCAGAUGUGCCCAGAUGGGAUUAGCUAGUAGGUGGGGUAACGGCUCACCUAGGCGACGAUCCCUAGCUGGUCUGAGAGGAUGACCAGCCACACUGGAGCGGAGACUCGGUCCAGACUCCUACGGGAGGCAGCAGUGGGGAAUAUUGAACAAUGGGCGCAGGCCUGAUGCAGCCAUGCCGCGUGUAUGAAGAAGGCCUUCGGGUUGUAAAGUACUUUCAGCGGGGAGGAAGGCGAUAAGGUUAAUACCUUUACUCAUUGACGUUACCCGCAGAAGAAGCACCGGCUAACUCCGUGCCAGCCGCCGCCGUAA